AGCCCAUGGUGCGAACAUCUUUUAAGUAAAUCCUUAAAUCUCUCCCGAGCUUCAAACAAUGAUUCACCAUCAAAUUGUGUAAAAGCAAUUAUAUGAUUCCUCAUCUU
rnacentral:snoRNA from 1 species